rnacentral:rRNA from 1 species
UUGACGGGGGCCCGCACAAGCGGUGGAGCAUGUGGUUUAAUUCGAUGAUACGCGAGGAACCUUACCUGGGCUCAAAUGUAUGUUGACGUAUUCUGAAAGGGAUACUUCUUCGGACAAUAUACAAGGUGCUGCAUGGUUGUCGUCAGCUCGUGCCGUGAGGUGUCGGGUUAAGUCCCAUAACGAGCGCAACCCCUAUCAUUAGUUGCCAUCAGGUCAAGCUGGGGACUCUAAUGAAACUGCCUACGCAAGUAGUGAGGAAGGUGGGGAUGACGUCAAAUCAGCACGGCCCUUACGUCCAGGGCUACACACGUGCUACAAUGGUCGGUACAAAGGGUUGCCAAGCCGCGAGGUGGAGCUAAUCCCAUAAAACCGAUCGUAGUCCGGAUCGCAGUCUGCAACUCGACUGCGUGAAGUCGGAAUCGCUAGUAAUCGUGAAUCAGAAUGUCACGGUGAAUACGUUCCCGGGCCUU